rnacentral:rRNA from 1 species
UACGUAGGUGGCAAGCGUUAUCCGGAAUUAUUGGGCGUAAAGCGCGCGUAGGCGGUUUUUUAAGUCUGAUGUGAAAGCCCACGGCUCAACCGUGGAGGGUCAUUGGAAACUGGAAAACUUGAGUGCAGAAGAGGAAAGUGGAAUUCCAUGUGUAGCGGUGAAAUGCGCAGAGAUAUGGAGGAACACCAGUGGCGAAGGCGACUUUCUGGUCUGUAACUGACGCUGAUGUGCGAAAGCGUGGGGAUCAAACAGGAUUAGAUACCCUGGUAGUCCACGCCGUAAACGAUGAGUGCUAAGUGUUAGGGGGUUUCCGCCCCUUAGUGCUGCAGCUAACGCAUUAAGCACUCCGCCUGGGGAGUACGACCGCAAGGUUGAAACUCAAAG